GACGAACGCUGGCGGCGUGCCUAAUACAUGCAAGUCGAACGGUCUUUUCUAUGGAAGCUUGCUUCCGCUGAGAAGAUAGUGGCGGACGGGUGAGUAACACGUGGGUAACCUGCCCAUAAGAGGGGGAUAACAUCCGGAAACGGGUGCUAAUACCGCAUAGUUUUUUUGAUCGCAUGAUCGAGAAAGGAAAGACGGCCUUUGUGCUGUCGCUUAUGGAUGGACCCGCGGCGUAUUAGUUAGUUGGUGAGGUAAUGGCUCACCAAGACGAUGAUACGUAGCCGACCUGAGAGGGUGAUCGGCCACAUUGGGACUGAGACACGGCCCAAACUCCUACGGGAGGCAGCAGUAGGGAAUCUUCCGCAAUGGACGAAAGUCUGACGGAGCAACGCCGCGUGAGUGAAGAAGGUUUUCGGAUCGUAAAACUCUGUUGUCAGAGAAGAACAAGUUGGAGAGUAACUGCUCCAGCCUUGACGGUAUCUGACCAGAAAGCCACGGCUAACUACGUG
rnacentral:rRNA from 1 species